GAGUAUUUUGAGCUUAAGUUUCAUACAGCCUAGAAAAUUAGUGAAGAUAUGAAUUGGGGAAAUGAUAUAGUUGAGUAACAAUAUUAAUUAAUUUAUUAAAAUACUAUAUUUGCAGGAAACCAAAGAAACAUCAAGAAUGCAACAUCUGUUAAAACACAAAUCUGAUUAAGAUAUUUAAAAUUUUCUCCUCAUGUUGAAGUAAUUGAUGAGAAAAGGAGAGGUAGGAAGAAAACGCAAGCAUAGGUGAUAGUAAAAAAACUUACUUCCUCAUAACAAAAAUGGUUUACAAUGAGGAUAAAAGAU
rnacentral:misc_RNA from 1 species